rnacentral:misc_RNA from 1 species
CAACAUUUUUUUUUUUAAAUCUAACUGUACAUUCAAAGUUGGCCGUAAGGGUUUCUUUCUUUCUGUCGUGUCCAAAAUCAGGUUGAAUCUCAUUCAAAUCUGGCAACAAUGAUCUUAUUGAAACAGAAUUGAACUUGAGUGAUCUUUACAGAACAAAUUUAAUUUGACAGACCAUAUUGAAAUUAAGAGCUUUCUGAAUGUUUGUCAAGUUGUUUUGGAACUGAGCUCAAAGGUGCUAAUCUGAACCCCUAUUUCAGGGAUGAACCAGG